rnacentral:tRNA from 1 species
GGAGAGUUACCCAAGUGGUUAAGGGGCUCCCCUGCUAAGGGAGUAGCACUGUAACAGGUGGCCUGGGUUCGAACCCCAGACUCUCCGCCA